ACGGGUGAGUAACACGUAGGUGACCUACCUAUCAGUGGGGGAUAACCAGGAGAAAUUCUGGCUAAUACCGCAUACGUAGUACAAAUUUGAAAGUAGUACUAGAAAGGAUGCCUCUGUAUAUGCAUUCGCUGAUAGAUGGGCCUGCGGGACAUUAGCUUGAUGGUGGGGUAACGGCCUACCAUGGCGACGAUGUCUAGCGGAUCUGAGAGGAUGAUCCGUCACACUGGAACUGAGACACGGUCCAGACUCC
rnacentral:rRNA from 1 species